rnacentral:misc_RNA from 1 species
GCAUCUUGGGGGUCGUUCUGAUUGGUUUGUUUCCGGUGGAUGGCUCUUUGCUUUUUGCAACAACUUUCACCUGGCAUACCUCUUCAGUUAUUCGUCAAGGUUGUUUAUCCUUGUCAGCUUUUGGUUUCCUGUGUUGCCUACGCUUUGACGGUACCGUGUGGUUAUAAAAAUGCAUUGUUUCAUUUUGCAUUGAACGUGUUGCGUGGGAUGAACAUAUUAGCAGUUUCUUUGAUCUACCUUGAUGUUUAUGCCAUCAUGAUGUGGCUCAUUGAUUUUUGCUUGGUCUUAUGGGUACGGAACAUGAUAUGGGCAUGGGUCUGUGUGAUCCUUUGUUUUGCUAUCGUUGAACGUUGUUAUUUCUCUAAGAUGGCCUCCUAGCCCGAAUUGGCUCGUACCACCGGGUAGGAUACGCUGUUGAAGAAUCAUGAUAACGUUCUUUCUUUUCUAAAUCGAACUGCCUUGCCUGUAGUGUCUUGUACCAGCAGGUAGGCUAUGUCGAAGAGGAUGCUACCUGGUUGAUCCUGCCAGUAGUCAUAUGCUUGUCUCAA